CCCCAAAAAUGCAACAAUAAAUAAUGAAUAAUGAAUAAUUAAUCAAUAAGCCCAUGAAGCCCAUGAAUAGAAGAGCCCAUGAACGAACAGUAAAUAACAGCUGACAGAUGAAUACAAUAAUAAAAUAAUAAACAUAAUUAAACGUGAUUAAACGUAAUUCAAUCACAAAUCACAAAGUACAACAGAAAAUCAACGUAUAUAUGCAUUUAAUGCAACAGAACAAUCAAUGAAACAGUUGAAAAGAAAGAAAGAAACAGUAAUAAACAUGCGAACUAAACAUAAGAAGCAUAGUAAGCGAGCAAGCAAGCGAGCACAUGUGAACUCGGCAUAAGCAAAGCAAAAGCGAAUAACCAACAAAACCUCCAAAACCUCAAACGUCAAACAUACAACCAAGCAGCAGGAGACGAAUAAUAGUAAAGAGUAUUUAAUAUUUAACACUAGCACACAAUGUAAUCACAUCGUUAAAAUAAAAUUCAAGAUGAACUAUAAAUUCAAAUGAAAAUAAACCAAGGAUGUGAAACGUAAAGUAAAAGACGCCAGACAAUAGCAGAUAGCAAAUGCCAGUCAUGAGAGAAAAGAAAUAAAUCAUAGAAUGCUGCUAAUUAUUGUCAGAAGUAAAAGGUAAAAUAUAGAGUAUAACCAGAAACAGCGGAUUCUAAUGCGAAGUAGGCACACGCAUCACUUCAAAAUGAAGAACCAAGAAACAAGAUCACCACAAAAGAAAGGGUGACUGAAAGAAAAUUACAAAUAAUAAGAAGUAAACUGAGAGCUUACAUGAAACGCUCAAACCAGUGAAGUUGAGGAUCCCUCCUGAGAAGCCAAGAUAACCAAGAUAGUGUAAAUGAAAGUCCAUUAGGAUUAUUUAAACUACUAGUCUGUACUACGUAGAACCGAGCAACCCUGCAACGAACAGAUGUACUUAGAAGACGAGCAACAUAAAAUAGAGCAGGCCAAUCGAUGACGCUAACGCCAAACAUCAAGUACAGUACAUAAUACAUUCCUGUCCCAUCAAUUCAUGGAAAAAGUACCAUAUCUUCAAAGAAGAUCAGCUGGGAAUAAAAGAAGGAGAAAGGAAGAAAAUAAAUAGAUGGAACAUUCUACACAACCACAACCUCAAACGUGAUUGACAAGCAGAGAUGGUGGAGAAACAAUCAAUGAUCAAAUGAAGGCAAAGAACAACAAUUAUAAAUUAUUGUGAGCAAAUCAUCAAUAAAGAUAAGUAGCAACAUAUAUCUCAUAAGAUUAAUGAUGAUGGACAUAAUGAGCAUAAUAGGUAGAAAUAGAACUAUUAACAUAAGAAGUUAACCAUAGUAUUAAAUAUCAAAUCGUAACCACAAUCCUAGUCCAUCUGCAGGAAACCCUUACGCCAGCCAAUAGAAGUGGAGGCAAAACGUAACGAUUAAUAGGAAAAGAAAAUACCCACCUGACAUAAUAUGAGGAGCAACAUGAGACGUAAAUCAGCAUAAAACAUGAAGCAGAUCAAAACAAUUCAGAUAGUUAUAAAUUGCGUAGAUUGUUACUGAAUUAUCAUACCGCUCCGAUAAGUAUGAUAUUAACGUUAAUACUGAUACAGAUACAAGUAAGUCAAUGUAAUAGAACGUGUGAUGAACAAAACUAAUCAAAUAAUAAACACCACAUACCACCGUAUUAUUACUGAACCAUAAUAUGAAAGUAAAAGAGAACUAAUCCCUAAUAUGAAGAAAAAUAGAUCAAAAUUACUAUAAACAUAUGUAUAUAUAUAAUAUGUAACAAAAACACGCCAAAUGUAAUC